rnacentral:rRNA from 1 species
UGGGGAAUAUUGCACAAUGGACGGAAGUUUGAUGCAGCGACGCCGCGUGGAGGGUGUAGGCCUUCGGGUUGUGAACUCCUUUUUCUCGCGAAAAAGGCACAGUUUUGGCUGUGUUGAUGGUAGUGGGGGAAGAAGCGCCGGCUAACUACGUGCCAGCAGCCGCGGUAAUACGUAGGGCGCGAGCGUUGUCCGGAUUUAUUGGGCGUAAAGAGCUCGUAGGAGGUUCGUCGCGUCUGUCGUGAAAGCCAGCAGCUUAACUGUUGGUCUGCGGUGGGUACGGGCGGGCUUGAGUGCGGUAGGGGUGACUGGAAUUCCGGGUGUAGCGGUGGAAUGCGCAGAUAUCAGGAGGAACACCGAUGGCGAAGGCAGGUCACUGGGCCGUUACUGACACUGAGGAGCGAAAGCGUGGGGAGCGAACAGG